CCUACGGGUGGCACCAGUGGGGAAUAUUGCACAAUGGGCGCAAGCCUGAUGCAGCCAUGCCGCGUGUAUGAAGAAGGCCUUCGGGUUGUAAAGUACUUUCAGCGGGGAGGAAGGUGUGGUGGUUAAUACCACAGCAAUUGACGUUACCCGCAGAAGAAGCACCGGCUAACUCCGUGCCAGCAGCCGCGGUAAUACGGAGGGUGCAAGCGUUAAUCGGAAUUACUGGGCGUAAAGCGCACGCAGGCGGUCUGUCAAGUCGGAUGUGAAAUCCCCGGGCUCAACCUGGGAACUGCAUUCGAAACUGGCAGGCUAGAGUCUUGUAGAGGGGGGUAGAAUUCCAGGUGUAGCGGUGAAAUGCGUAGAGAUCUGGAGGAAUACCGGUGGCGAAGGCGGCCCCCUGGACAAAGACUGACGCUCAGGUGCGAAAGCGUGGGGAGCAAACAGGAUUAGAUACCCUCGUAGUC
rnacentral:rRNA from 1 species